AACGAACGCUGGCGGCAUGCCUAACACAUGCAAGUCGAACGAGACCUUCGGGUCUAGUGGCGCACGGGUGCGUAACGCGUGGGAACCUGCCCUUAGGUUCGGAAUAACUCCCCGAAAGGGGUGCUAAUACCGGAUAAUGUCUUCGGACCAAAGAUUUAUCGCCUUUGGAUGGGCCCGCGUUGGAUUAGCUAGUUGGUAGGGUAAAAGCCUACCAAGGCGACGAUCCAUAGCUGGUCUGAGAGGAUGAUCAGCCACACUGGGACUGAGACACGGCCCAGACUCCUACGGGAGGCAGGAAGGGGGGAUAUUGGACAAUGGGGGAAAGCCUGAUCCAGCAAUGGCGCGUGAGUGAUUAAGGCCUUAGGGUUGUAAAGCUCUUUUACCCGGGAUGAUAAUGACAGUACCGGGAGAAUAAGCUCCGGCUAACUCCGUG
rnacentral:rRNA from 1 species